rnacentral:rRNA from 1 species
CAAACAGGAUUAGAUACCCUGGUAGUCCACGCCGUAAACGAUGAAUGCUAGGUGUUAGGGGUUUCGAUACCCUUGGUGCCGAAGUUAACACAUUAAGCAUUCCGCCUGGGGAGUACGGUCGCAAGACCGAAACUCAAAGGAAUUGACGGGGACCCGCACAAGCAGUGGAGUAUGUGGUUUAAUUCGAAGCAACGCGAAGAACCUUACCAGGUCUUGACAUCCCUCUGACCGGUCUAGAGAUAGGCCUUUCCUUCGGGACAGAGGAGACAGGUGGUGCAUGGUUGUCGUCAGCUCGUGUCGUGAGAUGUUGGGUUAAGUCCCGCAACGAGCGCAACCCUUAUGCUUAGUUGCCAGCAGGUCAAGCUGGGCACUCUAAGCAGACUGCCGGUGACAAACCGGAGGAAGGUGGGGAUGACGUCAAAUCAUCAUGCCCCUUAUGACCUGGGCUACACACGUACUACAAUGGCCGGUACAACGGGAAGCGAAGCCGCGAGGUGGAGCCAAUCCUAGAAAAGCCGGUUUCAGUUCGGAUUGUAGGCUGCAACUCGCCUACAUGAAGUUGGAAUUGCUAGUAAUCGCGGAUCAGCAUGCCGCGGGGAAUACGUUCCCGGGUCUUGUACACACCCCCCGUCACACCACGAGAGUUUACAACACCCGAAGUCGGUGAGGUAACCGCAAGGGGCCAGCCGCCGAAGGUGGGGUAG